rnacentral:rRNA from 1 species
GACGAACGCUGGCGGCGUGCUUAAAACAUGCAAGUCGAACGGACUUCUCAUGAAGCUUGCGAUUGAGAAGUUAGUGGCGGACGGGUGAGUAACGCGUGGGCAACCUGCCCCUGAGCCCGGGAUAACAGUUCGAAAGGACUGCUAAGACCGGAUAUACUUGCGGGGAAGCAUUUCACUGCAAGGAAAGGGAACGCUCAGGGAUGGGCCCGCGUCCCAUUAGCUAGUUGGUGAGGUAACGGCCCACCAAGGCGACGAUGGGUAGCCGGCCUGAGAGGGUGAACGGCCACACUGGGACUGAGACACGGCCCAGACUCCUACGGGAGGCAGCAGUUGGGAAUCUUCGGCAAUGGGCGCAAGCCUGACCGAGCAACGCCGCGUGAGUGAUGAAGGUUUUCGGAUUGUAAAGCUCUGUCUUCCGGGACGAUAAUGACGGUACCGGAGGAGGAAGCCACGGCUAACUACGUG